CAGUCGCCGCGGUAAUACGUAGGGUGCAAGCGUUAAUCGGAAUUACUGGGCGUAAAGCGUGCGCAGGCGGUUUUGUAAGUCUGUCGUGAAAUCCCCGGGCUCAACCUGGGAAUGGCGAUGGAGACUGCAAGGCUAGAAUCUGGCAGAGGGGGGUAGAAUUCCACGUGUAGCAGUGAAAUGCGUAGAUAUGUGGAGGAACACCGAUGGCGAAGGCAGCCCCCUGGGCUAAGAUUGACGCUCAUGCACGAAAGCGUGGGGAGCAAACAGGAUUAGAUACCCGUGUAGUCCCUGUCUCUUAUAC
rnacentral:rRNA from 1 species